ensembl:misc_RNA Metazoa_SRP Metazoan signal recognition particle RNA
GCACACACUUAUAGUCCCAGCUAUUUGGGAUGCUGAGGCAGGAGGAUCGGUUGAGCCCAGAAGUUCUGAGCUAUACCAUACUAUGCCAGUUGGGUGCCUACACUAAGUUCAGCACCAACAUGGUGACGUCCAGGAGCAUGGAAACACCAGGUUGUUUAAGGAGGGGUGAACUGGCCCAGGUCAGUAACAAAGUAGGUCAAAACUCCUAUGCUGAUUAGUAGUGGGAUUGCACCUGUGAACAGCCACUGUACUCCAGCCUGGGCAACAUAAUGUGAAACCCUGUUUCUA